rnacentral:rRNA from 2 species
GCAGUCGACGACUCUGGUAUUGAUUGGUGCUUGCAUCAUGAUUUACAUUUGAGUGAGUGGCGAACUGGUGAGUAACACGUGGGAAACCUGCCCAGAAGCGGGGGAUAACACCUGGAAACAGAUGCUAAUACCGCAUAACAACUUGGACCGCAUGGUCCGAGUUUGAAAGAUGGCUUCGGCUAUCACUUUUGGAUGGUCCCGCGGCGUAUUAGCUAGAUGGUGGGGUAACGGCUCACCAUGGCAAUGAUACGUAGCCGACCUGAGAGGGUAAUCGGCCACAUUGGGACUGAGACACGGCCCAAACUCCUACGGGAGGCAGCAGUAGGGAAUCUUCCACAAUGGACGAAAGUCUGAUGGAGCAACGCCGCGUGAGUGAAGAAGGGUUUCGGCUCGUAAAACUCUGUUGUUAAAGAAGAACAUAUCUGAGAGUAACUGUUCAGGUAUUGACGGUAUUUAACCAGAAAGCCACGGCUAACUACGUGCCAGCAGCCGCGGUAAUACGUAGGUGGCAAGCGUUGUCCGGAUUUAUUGGGCGUAAAGCGAGCGCAGGCGGUUUUUUAAGUCUGAUGUGAAAGCCUUCGGCUCAACCGAAGAAGUGCAUCGGAAACUGGGAAACUUGAGUGCAGAAGAGGACAGUGGAACUCCAUGUGUAGCGGUGAAAUGCGUAGAUAUAUGGAAGAACACCAGUGGCGAACGCGGCUGUCUGGUCUGUAACUGACGCUGAGGCUCGAAAGUAUGGGUAGCAACAGGAUUAGAUACCCUGGUAGUCCAUACCGUAACGAUGAUGCUAGUGUUGAGGGUUUCGCCCUCAGUGCUGCAGCUACGCAUAGCAUC